rnacentral:rRNA from 1 species
AUACGGAGGGUGCAAGCGUUACUCGGAAUCACUGGGCGUAAAGCGCGCGCAGGCGGCUAUUUAAGUUGGAUGUGAAAGCCUAUGGCUCAACCAUAGAACUGCAUCCAAAACUAUUUAGCUAGAGUGUGGGAGAGGAAGAUGGAAUUAGUUGUGUAGGGGUAAAAUCCGUAGAGAUAACUAGGAAUACCAAAAGCGAAGGCAAUCUUCUGGAACACUACUGACGCUGAGGCGCGAAAGCGUGCGGAGCAAACAGGAUUAGAAACCCUAGUAGUCC